CCUACGGGGUGCUGCAGUGGGGAAUAUUGGGCAAUGGGCGAAAGCCUGACCCAGCAACGCCGCGUGAAGGAAGAAGGCUUUCGGGUUGUAAACUUCUUUUGACAGGGAAGAGCAGAAGACGGUACCUGUCGAAUAAGCCACGGCUAAAUACGUGCCAGCAGCCGCGGUAAUACGUAGGUGGCAAGCGUUGUCCGGAUUUACUGGGUGUAAAGGGCGUGUAGCCGGGCUGACAAGUCAGAUGUGAAAUCCGGGGGCUCAACCCCCGAACUGCAUUUGAAACUGUUGGUCUUGAGUAUCGGAGAGGCAGGCGGAAUUCCUAGUGUAGCGGUGAAAUGCGUAGAUAUCACGCAGAACUCCGAUUGCGAAGGCAGCAUACCGGCGCCCAACUGACGCUGAAGCACGAAAGCGUGGGUAUCGAACAGGAUUAGAUACCCUUGUAGUC
rnacentral:rRNA from 1 species